UAGAAUUUUAGUAUGUUUUAAAAUAAUAAUAUAGCAAUAUGGAGAAACAUAUUAUGCAAACACUGUUAUUCUUCUUGUUCUGAUACAGGUCUACCAUACCAAAGAGAGAUUCUAGCUGGAAGAAACAAUCGGUGCAGUGCUUGCCUGAAAGAGGUCACUGAGGGGAGCAGGGCAGGUGUGCAAGAAGCAACCACGGCCUUGUGGCCAAGGGUAGCUGAAGAACUAACACACACAUUCAGGGAGAAAUGACCAAGGCCUUCUGCACUUCAGCUCUUCAGGGACAUACAGGCCUGCUAUAAAACAGUGCAGUCAUUUAGACCCAUUCAAACAAAUUUUUCCUUUUGCUUUCCUUUUUAUUCUUAGAGGCAACAUGAAAGACAAAGAGUUUUCAAAAAGAGGAGGAUCUGGGAAUUCUCAAAACUGCAAGUUAGUUUGUUGGCAUUUUCAUGAUGAAAAACCACAGGAUCAUUUUAUGGUUCUAGAAAACCCAGUCUGAUAACUACUUGUUCCCCAAACUAAGGAGAGGAAGUAAAAACCAGAGAGAACUGAA
rnacentral:lncRNA from 1 species